GCGAAGUGACGAUAAAAUUCAAUGCUCUGUCAAUCCUCUGACAAACUUUGAUUGAUGUUAAACUUUGAAUCUCGACAGGUUCUGAUCGC